GCAUUAUCUGAUGAUGGAACAGUGCGUCUAUGAUGGGAAUAGGAGCAGGCAGUAGUCUAUAGGUUUGGUGUGGGAGUGAGAGCCUGGGAAGUUGAAGGUUAGCAUGCAGGAAGGACACUCCAAUCCACAGUAACUGCAGCAGUCUUCACUUUCUUCCUGUUCCUGAUCCCCUAGCCCAUGUGAUCUGCUGGGGGCGGGGCCUCUUCUCCCAGCCCUCCACUCACAGGAGGAGGAUUCAGAAGGAGGAGGAGCCUGCUGCAAGGGAAAGGGCCCCUGUGAGUCAGUGCAGGAGUCCUCAUACACCUACCUGCAGGACGGGUUUGCCCACUCUGUCUGUCACUGACCAGCAUGGAGGAGAUGCAGUCAUCCAUCCAUCCCUGUAAACUGGGUGGCUCACCUUACUAAACCACUACUGUCAGCACUCAGGAGGAACUUAAACCUAUGAAGGUAUGUGUCCUCUGUGGGGGUCACAGGGGCCAUUCUGGCCACUGUUGCGUUUUCUCAGCUGUCUGGAUCAGUGGGUUCAAGUUAUUCAUGCCUACCAGACCCACCACCAGCCUCCGGCCUAGUUCUUCAUCCUUCGUUGAUCAGGUUGAAUUUGAAGACACAAGUCAUGUUCUUGCUUCAUGUACGUAUAUACUGUAAGUGGUAGCUACAAUCAUCAAACUAAGACAGGACUGUGUCUUCAAAUUAUUUUGAUUACGUCACUGAUUAGGAAGUAGACACUGCUUUUGAUGGAAUGGAACAUAGUGUUUCUCUCAUACUAUACCCCUACCUUUACCCCUACCCCCACCCCUACCUCUACCUCUACCCUUACAUCUACCUCUAACUCUACACAUACCUCUGCCCAUACCUCUAUCCCUACCUCUAUCCCUACCUCUAUUUAUACCUCUAUUUAUACCUCUAACCCUACCUCUAUUUAUAUCUCUAAUCCUACCUCUAACCCUACCUCUAUUUAUACCUCUAAUCAUACCUCUAUCCCUACAUAUAUUUAUACCUCUACCUACCCCUACCUCUACCCCCACCUCAAACCCUACUUCUACCUCUACCCUAUCUCUACCCCUACAAUCACGCCUACCCCUACCCUUACAUCUAACUCUACCCAUGCCUCUGCCCCUACCUCUAACCCUACCUCUAUUUAUACCUCUACUCCUACAUCUAACCCUGCACAUACCUCUACCUCUACCCCUACCUCUACCUCUACCUCUACCCCUACCUUCAGCCCUACCUAUACCCUCACCUCUACCCCUACAUCUACUUCUACCUCUACUCCUUCCCUACCUCUACCCCACCUCCAUUUAUACCUUUACCCCUACCUCUACCCCUAACUCUACCUUGAUCUCUACCUCUACCCCUUCCUCCAUUUAUACCUUUACCCCUACACCUAUCGCUACCUCUACCCCACUGCUAUAUCUACAUCUAUGUAUACCUCUCCCCCUACCUCUACCCCUACUUCCAUUUAUACCUUUACCUUUUUCCCCUACACCUAUCUCUACCUCUACCCCACUGCUAUCCCUACCUCUAUGUAUACUCCUACCCCUACCUCUACUCCUACCUCUACCCGUAACCCUACC
rnacentral:lncRNA from 1 species